GCAAAUUAUAGCCAUACAGUGGAGAUCCCUGCCACGAAGAUCCUAGCCACAGCUCUCCGCCUCUACCCUUUUACUGUCGAAGAGCACGGUUCCAUCCAUAAAGCUUUUCUCUUUUUUUUUGCUGACAGUAUGUAAUAAAAUCAAUGCCAUUCCUCUCCUCCGCAUCUCGUUACCUUUUCUCACCAAUCCCACGCAAACCUCUCGAUUUUUCAUUCACAAAACUCGAUUGUUUCACCACAUCCAAAUUGCUGGAAAAUAGGACCAACAUAGAAAAUGUUCUCGAACCUGUGAAAGCUAAGCUGGAUGCUUCAUGCAUCAGUGAAGUGUUAACAAGGUGCGCUGUUAAUGAACCACAAUUGGUUCUCAGAAUUUUCAUUUGGUCUGGCCUUCAUCCUACUUAUAGGCAUAGCUCAUACAUGUAUAGCAAAGCAUGUAAAUUACUCGGACUUGAGAAAAACCCAAGCAUUGAUGUCGAUGUUAUAUCGGCCUAUCGGGCUGAAAAUAGUGUUGUUAGUGUCAAGAUGUUCUGAAUUUGUAUAGUGAAGCUAAAGAUGAGAAAUUGGGCUUGUGGGUGUUGACGAAAAUGAAGAAAUUUAAUUGUAGGCCCGACACUGUGGCUUACAAUGUGGUAAUUCGGUUGGUAGUGGAGAAGGGUGAAUUAGAUGAAGCAAUGGGGUUGAUGAAAGAGAUGGGUUUGUUUGAUCUUUAUCCCUAUAUGAUCACUACGUUUUGUUGAUUAAGGGGUUUUGUGAUGUAGGAAGGUUGGAAGAUGCAUGCCAAUUGAUUAACUCUAUGAAAGGGCAUGGGUCUGUGCCGAAUGAUAGGGUUUGUAAGCAUAGGAUUUUGGAGUAGGCAUUGGAGUUUCUAGAGAAGAUGGAAAAAGAAGAUGAGGAAUGUAAGCCAAAUGUUGUAACUUUUUCGACAGUGAUAAAGGGUUUUGUUGAGAAAGGGAGAGUGAUGGAGGCAUUAGGGGUCUUGGAUUGAAUGGAGGAUUCAGGCCUUCAACCUAAUAGGGUGACAAUUAUGGCUUUGAUUGAUGGCCUAUGCAAAGAGGGGCGUGUGAUAGAGUUAGUAGAGGUACUGAAGAGCAUGGUAAGUUCUAUGGUUUGCUUGUUGUGUCACUAUGUCGAAUUGGCAAAAUAAAAGAGGCAGAAAAGAUUAUUAAGAUGAUGGUAGCUAGUGGUAUGAAGCCAAAUGAUUUGGUUUCAAGUACUUUCAUAAAAGCUAUAGUCUAGGAGGGGUGGGUGCUAGAUGGAUUUGGUUUGUUUGAUUGAGAUUCACUUGAAAAGUCUGUACAUUUUCCUGCCAUCGAUUCUGAUAUUUAAUCGAUCAUAUUAGCUGGACUUUGUGAAAAAGGCCAUUUGGUGGAAGCUUCAAAGCUUGCUAAACUGAUGGCUGAGAGACGAAUUCAGCUUAAGCAUCCUUAUGUUCAAAAUAUAGUUGAAUACCUUAAGAAAUUAUGGAGAAGAAGAUAUAGGUUCCCUUAUCGGUAGUAUGGACAGUUUAUUAUGAGCCAAGCCUUGUUCUGAAUGUGACAAGAUCCCUUUUCUCUAAUUGAGAUGAAAACCCUUCCUUUGGUUGGUAAUUUCUUGAUUUGAGCAGUGGAAAUUGUAUCAUUUACGCUAUAGUUAUUUAAGUUGCUGAAGAACACUGAGGAUUCAAAAUGCAAUAGUUGCAGAGUGCCAGUUGGCCGAAUAAGCAGUCCAAAGAUGCGAAAUAUAGGAGAGUUUCCACUGUAAAACUAAUUGCUAAGCAGCAAUAAACUAGUGUAGUACAGAGGCUAGCAUCCGUUUUCAAGCUUGAGAAUCCUUUCAUGCACCUUCAGAUGGAAAUGGAAAUUCUCUCAAUAUUGAGUAUAUAUCUGACCUUAAUUAGCUUAUUAUAACUUAGAUUUACAUUUUUUAAUUAUUGUUGAUGGAUAUGCUUGCUUGCGAAGGUUUCAUCACAUCUAGAUCAUGGCUGACCCUGCAAAGAUUUUGAUUUCUAAGCGCUGCUUUUGCUGUAAGUGAAAAAAGUUGAAGCCUAUUUCUUGAUGUUGGGGUCAAAAGCUGAUAAUAUGCUAGUAUUAUGUGAAAUUGCUGAAAUUUAUUUAUUCGAUUAUCUUCUCCUUUUGGAGAUAUAAUCUCACCAGUUAGUUUACCGAUGAACAAGAGUCUUCUAUAGCUCUCAGAUAAUGUGAAAAAUUGAGGUGAAGAAAUAUUAUUUUUCGUGCAAUUCUACUUGUGCAACUAGCAUUGUUUUGUCUCAUUCUACGAAAAUAAUUCCAUUAUGCACAUCUCCUCUAUAAACUCGUUUUUUCUUUAUUGAAUAUGUUAGUAGCCUUGCACAAAACAGAAGCUAUUUAAAGGAUCAAAUACAAAAAAAUGCCGUAAAUAGGGAUUUGGAAUCGUUGACAUCUGGUAAUUUAUCUAAAAGAAUCUAGAACAUAUAUGACUUUCCUGCUACCUCUACCUGAAUACUUGUGUAAUGAACUUGUACAUGAUAAACAUGAAAUGUUUAACUAAAUACUUAUAAUAAAACUUCAAAAAAUUCUUUGUGGGGUUCAUAAUUUGAUUAAGAAGAGGUUUAAGACAUUGAUCGAC
rnacentral:lncRNA from 1 species